rnacentral:rRNA from 1 species
UGUUGGGUUAAGUCCCGCAACGAGCGCAACCCUUAAGCUUAGUUGCCAUCAUUAAGUUGGGCACUCUAAGUUGACUGCCGGUGACAAACCGGAGGAAGGUGGGGAUGACGUCAAAUCAUCAUGCCCCUUAUGAUUUGGGCUACACACGUGCUACAAUGGACAAUACAAAGGGCAGCGAAACCGCGAGGUCAAGCAAAUCCCAUAAAGUUGUUCUCAGUUCGGAUUGUAGUCUGCAACUCGACUACAUGAAGCUGGAAUCGCUAGUAAUCGUAGAUCAGCAUGCUACGGUGAAUACGUUCCCGGGUCUUGUACACACCGCCCGUCACACCACGAGAGUUUGUAACACCCGAAGCCGGUGGAGUAACCUUUUAGGAGCUAGCCGUCGAAGGUGGGACAAAUGAUUGGGGUGAAGUCGUAACAAGGUAGCCGUAUCGGAAGGUGCGGCUGGAUCACCUCCUUUCUA